AGAGUUUGAUCCUGGCUCAGGAUGAACGCUAGCUACAGGCUUAACACAUGCAAGUCGAGGGGAAACGAUAUUGGAAGCUUGCUUCCGAUGGGCGUCGACCGGCGCACGGGUGAGUAACGCGUAUCCAACCUGCCCACCACUUGGGGAUAACCUUGCGAAAGUAAGACUAAUACCCAAUGAUAUCUCUAGAAGACAUCUGAAAGAGAUUAAAGAUUUAUCGGUGAUGGAUGGGGAUGCGUCUGAUUAGCUUGUUGGCGGGGUAACGGCCCACCAAGGCAACGAUCAGUAGGGGUUCUGAGAGGAAGGUCCCCCACAUUGGAACUGAGACACGGUCCAAACUCCUACGGGAGGCAGCAGUGAGGAAUAUUGGUCAAUGGACGAGAGUCUGAACCAGCCAAGUAGCGUGCAGGAAGACGGCCUUAUGGGUUGUAAACUGCUUUUAUAAGGGAAUAAAGUGAGAGUCGUGACUCUUUUUGCAUGUACCUUAUGAAUAAGGACCGGCUAAUUCCGUGCCAGCAGCCGCGGUAAUACGGAAGGUCCGGGCGUUAUCCGGAUUUAUUGGGUUUAAAGGGAGCGUAGGCCGGAGAUUAAGCGUGUUGUGAAAUGUAGACGCUCAACGUCUGCACUGCAGCGCGAACUGGUUUCCUUGAGUACGCACAAAGUGGGCGGAAUUCGUGGUGUAGCGGUGAAAUGCUUAGAUAUCACGAAGAACUCCGAUUGCGAAGGCAGCUCACUGGAGCGCAACUGACGCUGAAGCUCGAAAGUGCGGGUAUCGAACAGGAUUAGAUACCCUGGUAGUCCGCACGGUAAACGAUGGAUGCCCGCUGUUGGUCUGAAUAGGUCAGCGGCCAAGCGAAAGCAUUAAGCAUCCCACCUGGGGAGUACGCCGGCAACGGUGAAACUCAAAGGAAUUGACGGGGGCCCGCACAAGCGGAGGAACAUGUGGUUUAAUUCGAUGAUACGCGAGGAACCUUACCCGGGUUUGAACGUAGUCUGACCGGAGUGGAAACACUCUUUCUAGCAAUAGCAGAUUACGAGGUGCUGCAUGGUUGUCGUCAGCUCGUGCCGUGAGGUGUCGGCUUAAGUGCCAUAACGAGCGCAACCCUUAUCACUAGUUACUAACAGGUGAAGCUGAGGACUCUGGUGAGACUGCCAGCGUAAGCUGUGAGGAAGGUGGGGAUGACGUCAAAUCAGCACGGCCCUUACAUCCGGGGCGACACACGUGUUACAAUGGCAUGGACAAAGGGCAGCUACCUGGUGACAGGAUGCUAAUCUCCAAACCAUGUCUCAGUUCGGAUCGGAGUCUGCAACUCGACUCCGUGAAGCUGGAUUCGCUAGUAAUCGCGCAUCAGCCAUGGCGCGGUGAAUACGUUCCCGGGCCUUGUACACACCGCCCGUCAAGCCAUGGGAGCCGGGGGUACCUGAAGUCCGUAACCGCAAGGAUCGGCCUAGGGUAAAACUGGUGACUGGGGCUAAGUCGUAACAAGGUA
rnacentral:rRNA from 1 species